AGUGAACGCUGGCGGCAGGCCUAACACAUGCAAGUCGAGCGGCAGCGCGUCCGACCACCCUCGGGUGGUCGGAUGGCGGCGAGCGGCGGACGGGUGAGGAAUGCAUCGGAAUCUGCCUCGUUGUGGGGGAUAACGUAGGGAAACUUACGCUAAUACCGCAUACGACCUACGGGUGAAAGUGGGGGACCUUCGGGCCUCACGCGAUGAGAUGAGCCGAUGCCGGAUUAGCUAGUUGGCGGGGUAAAGGCCUACCAAGGCGACGAUCCGUAGCGGGUCUGAGAGGAUGAUCCGCCACACUGGGACUGAGACACGGCCCAGACUCCUACGGGAGGCAGCAGUGGGGAAUUUUGGACAAUGGGCGCAAGCCUGAUCCAGCCAUGCCGCGUGAGUGAAGAAGGCC
rnacentral:rRNA from 1 species